rnacentral:rRNA from 1 species
UACCAGCACCCCGAGUGGUCGGGACGUUUAUUGGGCCUAAAGCAUCCGUAGCCGGUUCUACAAGUCUUCCGUUAAAUCCAGCUGCUUAACAGAUGGGCUGCGGAAGAUACUAUGGAGCUAGGAGGCGGGAGAGGCAAGCGGUACUCGAUGGGUAGGGGUAAAAUCCGUUGAUCCAUUGAAGACCACCAGUGGCGAAGGCGGCUUGCCAGAACGCGCUCGACGGUGAGGGAUGAAAGUUGGGGGAGCAAACCGG